UACGUAGGGUGCAGGCGUUAAUCGGAAUUACUGGGCGUAAAGGGCUCGUAGGCGGCCAACUAAGUCAGACGUGAAAUCCCUCGGCUUAACCGGGGAACUGCGUCUGAUACUGGAUGGCUUGAAUCCGGGAGAGGGAUGCGGAAUUCCAGGUGUAGCGGUGAAAUGCGUAGAUAUCUGGAGGAACACCGGUGGCGAAGGCGGCAUCCUGGACCGGCAUUGACGCUGAGGAGCGAAAGCCAGGGGAGCAAACGGG
rnacentral:rRNA from 1 species